UCCAUGUGCAAAUCAUCUGGCACCAAGCGGACGGAGCUGUACGAGUUGGGGCCACCAGCUGGCUGACAGCGCACACAUGGGCGAGCAUGAGCAACAUGGAGCUAGGGAGUAAGCUGGGAGCGGAUGGACGGGGCGUGAGGUAGAACGGGGGUGGGGAGCGGGCAGACCGUGGACAGAAGAGAACAACACCGGAAACAUCCUUUCUAAAGUUUUCUUGGGGCUGUACUGACGAACAACUUGUUCAGUGAUACCAACCCCUUCGAGCUCCCUCAACCCUUCGACAACACUUAUUCAGUUUCUCACCACAAGUAGUAAGAGACAUGAUCAGAUCACUAACCAGUGAUGAAGGCGUUAUGUGGUCGUUGACGUCAUGCUAAAUGUUGGUGUAGUGCCAAAUAAGAAGAUACGGAACAAAAUCCCUAAGCUAGACAUUAUGCGUGGAUGUAGGUGGAUGUGGGCGCUGUGGCCGCCACCAAGGAUGUAGGGGUCGCGCCCCAAGCUGCAAGUACGUGGUAGGGCGUCAAAACUGACGAGGACACGGGAGCCGCACUGCAGCAUGAGUGUUUUUCAUAAUUUAUUUAGUGGUGAAAUUUUCAGGCCUAUGAACUGGAUGAUAUUUUCAUUGCUGGCAAUCUUCAUCAACCUACCUACGAGGACAUUGAUAUACUAAUUGCUGCACAAGUGUUCUCAGCACCGGCUAGCAAGAAGAGAGUAUGAUUGUUCAAUGCUCACUGUUGUAAGCUUGUUUCACGAGGAGCUUCUCAGUGUUGUACAUGUAGGGUGUUGAUAAUAUAAAUAAAAUCUAUUUGUUCAUUCUUCUACUGUACCUCCGAUUCGUCCCCCACGGUUCAGUAGAGUACAGUUAUGUGCUAAAGUAUUAGGAAGUCAUCAUCUUCUAAAACAUAUUGUUACCUACUCAACCCAGUAAGCAAAU